GCCGAGGUAGCCUAGCCAGGCAAGGCGGUGGAUUCGAGAUCCACUGGGCUCUGCCCUCGGGAGUUCAAAUCUCCCCCUCGGCGCUA
rnacentral:tRNA from 1 species